rnacentral:rRNA from 1 species
GAUGAAUGCUGGCGGUGUGCCUAAUACAUGCAAGUCGAGCGGAAAGGCCCCUUCGGGGGUACUCGAGCGGCGGACGGCUGAGUAACGCGUAGGAAUGUACCCCAAACUGAGGGAUAAUCCACCGAAAGGUGGACUAAUACCGCAUGUGCUCUUCGGAGUAAAGCUUCGGCGGUUUGGGAACAGCCUGCGUCCGAUUAGGUAGUUGGUGAGGUAAUAGCUCACCAAGCCUACGAUCGGUAGCUGGCCUGAGAGGGCGACCGGCCACACUGGGACUGAGACACGGCCCAGACUCCUACGGGAGGCAGCAGUGGGGAAUAUUGCGCAAUGGGCGGAAGCCUGACGCAGCGACGCCGCGUGGGGGAUGAAGGCCUUCGGGUUGUAAACCUCUUUCAGCAGGGAAGAAGCGUGAGUGACGGUACCUGCAGAAGAAGCACCGGCUAACUACAUGCCAGCAGCCGCGGUAA